rnacentral:rRNA from 1 species
AUGGGCGAUCCCAGAGUUGCGUAUGCCCCCCCAAAUAUCUCGCCUACGUCCCCUCCCCACCCCUCGGCCUCAUCUAUAAAACUCCACCCGCUCCCUCCCUCCAACAAAGAAGGAAAGAAAGAAGGAGGAUUCACUGCGCCUGCGCCACACACACCCCUCGACACCGAAGGUUUGGUUGGAUCGUCGUGCUCCAUGGGGCUUCUUGACCAGCUGUGGGACGACACGGUGGCCGGGCCGCGGCCGGACCACGGCCUCGGCAGGCUCCGCAAGUACGCGUCCUUCUCCCCGUCCUCCGCCGCCUCCGCGACGACCGCUGCCGUGCCGUCGGCCGACGUGGCGGCGCCGGCGGUGACGCGGAGCAUCACCAUCCUCCGCCCGCCGGCUCUGUCCGUGACGUCGCCGCGCAGCGAGUCCGGCUCCGGCUCCGCGCCCUCGUCCCCGGCCAGCGUCCCCGACUCCCCCUUCGGCACAGCAACGACACCCAGGGGAGAGAGUGGUUGGAGUAAGCUGCGGCGCAAAGGCAGGAUGGCCGCCGACGGCAUGGAGGCCAGCCCCGGCACCCCCAGGAGCCCCACCGUGUACGACUGGGUGGUGAUUAGUUCGCUCGACCGCUAA